GCGGGAUAUUUAACGCGUUAACUGCGGCACCGAAUUUAAAACCCGACACCUAAUAUCCAUCGUUUACAGCGUGGACUACCAGGGUAUCUAAUCCUGUUUGCUACCCACGCUUUCGUACCUCAGCGUCAGUNCUCGUCCAGUUGGCCGCCUUCGCCACCGGUGUUCCUCCAGAUAUCUACGGAUUUCACUCCUACACCUGGAAUUCCGCCAACCUCUCCGAGACUCUAGCACUUCAGUUUCAAACGCAAUUCCUCGGUUGAGCCGAGGGCUUUCACGUCUGACUUGAAGCGCCGCCUACGCACGCUUUACGCCCAGUGAUUCCGAUUAACGCUCGCACCCUCCGUAUUACCGCGGCUGCUGGCACGGAGUUAGCCGGUGCUUCCUCUAGAGGUACCGUCAGUGAAUGGCCCUAUUCGAACCAAACAGUUUCUUCCCUCUUGACAGUAGUUUACGACCCGAAGCCUUCUUCCUACACGCGGCGUCGCUGCGUCAGGGUUUCCCCAUUGCGCAAUAUUCCCACUGCUGCCUCCCGUAGAGUCUGGGCCGUGUUUCAGUCCCAGUGUGGCUGAUCAUCCUCUCAGACCAGCUACUCAUCGUUGCCUUGGUAGCAUUACCCACCAACAAGCUAAUGAGACGCGGA
rnacentral:rRNA from 1 species